GUGCGCGGCCGUGAGGGGAGCGCUGGGCAGCGCCAUAUCCCGGCCCCCCCCCGCCGCCCCGGCACCGCGCGCAUGCGCGCUGAGCUGCUGCGGGCACCUGCGCAAUAGUGAUCCCCGGGUCGCGCUCGGCGGAGACCGGCCCGGGAGGACAUGCUGCCAAAUAGUGAUCCCUUGCUGCUGGUGGUCUCCUGAGGGGGCUGCGGGGUCCGGGGGCCGUCCCCACACACCGCACCUGCCCGGGCAGCGCUCCCCGCCUCCCUCCGGCCUCCCAGCAGCGCCGCACCGCCGGCGGGGCCGCUCCUCGGGCCGCGAGUGUGGAAAGGGAAAUAAUUCCCUUUCCCGGCGAGCUGGGGCCAUCCUGGAGCGCUGCUGGGGCUGCUGCCAAGCAUCGUCCGCAUUCCUGGUGUUCCAGAGGGAAAGCAGAGUGCCUGGAGUGGGAGAUGGAAUUGUCUGGGUCUGACAGGAGCUCCUAGAGGGGCAGGAGAAUCUCAGGUGUGAUGAGAUCUGCUGUCAGCUCUCUCUAACUCAGCACUGCUGAAUGUGUUUGUGUUGUGGUUCUAGAGCACCGUCCUGACACCAGGAAAAGAAACACUUUUCCCUCAUUUCCUCUUCUUUUCACUUCACUUUUUGAGUUCUAAGUGGUGGCUUGUUGUGGAGCCCUGUGUCUGAAGAAUGGCACUUAUUUAUGCUUUAUAAAACAGAACUCUAAACCCUGAAUUAUUUAAGUAAAACAUCUACCUGA